GACGAACGCUGGCGGCGCGCUUAACACAUGCAAGUCGAGCGAGAACCAGUCCUUCGGGGCUGGGGACAGCGGCGAACGGGUGAGUAACACGUGGGUAAUCUGCCCUCGGCACCGGAAUAGCCCGGGGAAACCCGGAUUAAUGCCGGAUGGCCUCUCUGCCCCUCGGGGCGGCGAGAAAGGGUAGCUUCGGCCUCUGGCCGAGGAUGAGCCCGCGGCCGAUUAGCUUGUUGGUGAGGUAACGGCUCACCAAGGCGACGAUCGGUAGCUGGUCUGAGAGGACGAUCAGCCACACUGGGACGGAGACACGGCCCAGACUCCUACGGGAGGCAGCAGUGGGGAAUCUUGCGCAAGGGGCGAAAGCCUGACGCAGCGACGCCGCGUGCGGGAAGAAGGCCUUCGGGUUGUAAACCGCUUUCAGGAGGGACGAAGCCACUCGGGUGAAUAGCCUAGAGGGUGACGGUACCUCCAGAAGAAGCCCCGGCUAACUACGUGCCAGCCGCCGCCGUAAGAC
rnacentral:rRNA from 1 species